rnacentral:tRNA from 1 species
GCGCCCGUAGCUCAGCUGGAUAGAGCGUCGGUUUCCGGUACCGAAGGUCGCAGGUUCGACUCCUGCCGGGCGUACCA